GUGUCAUUGCAUGCAUUCAUUCGUUCCUAAAAAUAGUUAAGAAUUUAAAAGUUUAAAUUGAAAGUAUAAUUCGUAAAUAUGCUUAACUUUUAUCAAGUUUGUCUCAUAAGCUUUGCAUUGCUUUGGAACAUCUGGAGAAUCGAUUAAAAGAUUGAGGUUAAGGAUGGCGUUGUGCACGGCUUAAAAUUCAUCAAGUGCCACAUCGAGCCAUAUCGAGAGGGUCGAGAGCUGCCUUCUUGGUGGGAUAGUGUUUCAGUUAGACGACAUUGAGACAUGUCAAAUUAUAUGUAUGUAUAUGGUUAAUUAAGUUUCGAGCCAAAAUGUGCAUACGUAGAUAAACUAGAAAAUUGUAUGAAUAUGUUGCCGUCAACUAUGCUUUCCUGGAAUUUAUUAAUUGAAAUUCAUUUAUUAUAAUGAUUCAGCUAAUAUGUUGUGUAAAUUAAACAGAAAAACUUGCAAAUUCAAUAAAA